CAGUAGCCACGGGAACACGUAGGGUGCGAGCGUUAAUCGGAAUUACUGGGCGUAAAGCGUGCGCAGGCGGUUAUAUAAGACAGAUGUGAAAUCCCCGGGCUCAACCUGGGAACUGCAUUUGAGACUGUAUGGCUAGAGUGUGUCAGAGGGGGGUAGAAUUCCACGUGUAGCAGUGAAAUGCGUAGAUAUGUGGAGGAAUACCGAUGGCGAAGGCAGCCCCCUGGGAUAACACUGACGCUCAUGCACGAAAGCGUGGGGAGCAAACAGGAUUAGAUACCCGCGUAGUCCCUGUCUCUUAUAC
rnacentral:rRNA from 1 species